GACAAGACUGGAAAUAACCUAAAUUUACAAGCACUUGAUCCACUGAAGGAAAAAGCUGUAAUUGAUAAUGUAUUGAUUGAAAUAGCAAACGAUGAAGAAAUACCAUAUAAGAAUUCACGUUUAGAUGUUGAACAGACAAAAGAAGAAGUUUUGCUUGACCUUCACGAAUUGGAUUUAUCAGCAAAUAUUACGUAAACAAACACAGGAAGACUAAUUAUUUUGAAAUAUAGGGACCAAGUGCUAGAUGAUCAGGUGAGAAAAAAGUUGGUGGAAAUUUUAAUCUGGAAACUUAUGGAAAUUCCAGUAGCUGUUAAAUAUCUCGAUGAAAAUCAAACGCAGAAAGUGAAAGUAAUUAGGCCAACGCUAAAAGAUCAUCAUUUUGACAUUCUCUCCAAAAAAAAAGGUUGAGCUUUUUCCCAAGGAAAGUAAGGAAACGUAUUAUGUAUCUCCAAAAGUGGAAGGAUCGGAUCAAAAGUUUGCCAGAGGAAAACUUGUAGAUAAAUAUCGGAAUUGGCUAUCAUCACUUUCAAAUCUGGGACUUUUGACUAGGAAGCCAAAAAAGAACGAUGAAGAACCAGAAGAGGGAAAAGAGAGUAAGAUC